UACGUAGGGUGCAAGCGUUAAUCGGAAUUACUGGGCGUAAAGCGUGCGCAGGCGGUUGUGCAAGACAGAUGUGAAAUCCCCGGGCUCAACCUGGGAAUUGCAUUUGUGACUGCACGGCUAGAGUGUGUCAGAGGGGGGUAGAAUUCCACGUGUAGCAGUGAAAUGCGUAGAGAUGUGGAGGAAUACCGAUGGCGAAGGCAGCCCCCUGGGAUAACACUGACGCUCAUGCACGAAAGCGUGGGGAGCAAACGGG
rnacentral:rRNA from 1 species